UACGUAGGGUGCAAGCGUUGUCCGGAAUUAUUGGGCGUAAAGAGCGCGCAGGCGGUCGUUCAAGUCGAGUGUGAAAGCCCCCGGCUCAACUGGGGAGGGUCACUCGAUACUGAUCGACUCGAAGGCAGAAGAGGGAAGCGGAAUUCCCGGUGUAGUGGUGAAAUGCGUAGAUAUCGGGAGGAACACCAGUGGCGAAGGCGGCUUUCUGGUCUGCUCUUGACGCUGAGGCGCGAAAGCUAGGGUAGCAAACGGG
rnacentral:rRNA from 1 species